UACGGAGGAUGCGAGCGUUAUCCGGAAUCAUUGGGUUUAAAGGGUGCGUAGGCUGGUAUUUAAGUCAGUGGUGAAAUUUUCGUGCUUAACAUGAGAGCUGCCAUUGAUACUGGGUACCUAGAGUGUAUUUGAUGUGGGCGGAAUGUGUUGUGUAGCGGUGAAAUGCUUAGAUAUAACACAGAACACCGAUAGCGAAGGCAGCUCACAAAGUUACAACUGACGCUGAUGCACGAAAGCGUGGGGAUCGAAACAAGG
rnacentral:rRNA from 1 species